AAAUUUAAAGCCGUAUGGGCUUGCAAUCUAUCAGCCACGUGGUCUCACGAAAGACAACUGGCAGCAUCGAUGGUGUGCUACGUAGACGACUCAUUCUCAUCAGUCGAAGAAUAAAUGUAGAGAACUGCACGUCCACCGCCAUCCACUAUACUCAAGGCCAUCCACCAUGUAGCAAACAAAAUAAUUGGUUUAUUUGUUUGCUGUUGUUGUUUUUUUGGAGGCCUACAGCUUAUCAGUAAGGGGAGGCUUCAAAACACACAAAAAGGUCUGAGAACCAGAAUGGAAAUCAGCCGAUUAGAUCAAGACAACCAACAAUUAAUGGCCAUAGGGUCAGGGAUUCGGAUGCCACAAUUCCUGCCAGAAGAGAUUCCUCAUGUUAGGCUACCACUAAGAUUGUAAAGGAGGCAAAGGAUCUUAAACACUCGGCUGAUCGCCUUAAGAAUUCUGGAUUAAGUGUUGAAAGUACAGGUCUUUACUUCCAGGCAGCCCUUAAGUUUCUUCAUGGAGCCUCUUUAUUGGAAUCUAGCAAUGGCGAGAGUGCCAAGCAAGGUGAGAUGAUUCGGUCAAUGCAAAUGUGUAGUAGCACAGCAAAACUCUGUGAGUUUUGUGCUCAUGAAUAUGAGAAAUCCAAGGACAUUGCUGCUGCUGCUCUGGCCUACAAAUGCAUGGAGGUGGCAUAUAUGAGAGUAAUUUAUUACUCGCAUACCAAUGCAAGCAGAGAUCGGCAUGAGUUGCAGACAGCUUUGCAAAUAGUUCCUCCUGGAGGAAAGGCCGAUGAAUAAGUACUAUAAUUUCAUUUGAAAUCAUGACUUCCAUAAGAGAAACUGAAGCAACUAGAAAUAUCAGAGCAGGAAAUUUAUUGCGCUGGACAAAAAUCUUUUGUGGUAUCUUCUUUCUAGUACAAACGUGUGAAUCUCCCUCUUCCUCUGCCUCCGACGUUGAUAACUUAAACAACCCAACAACAUUAGACAAGGUUCCCUUAACCAAGGGUGUUAGCUCUCCUCAAGUUGCUGCAAACCAUGUUAUUGCUGCACGAAACUGCCCCAGUUUGGUGCGGCUGCUCAACUUUCUAUGGGAUGUAAAUUUUGCAAUGGAAGCCUCGAGGAAAUCUCAAAUUGCUUUUGCAGCUGCGAAUACAAUAAUGGAAGAGGCUCAGCAUAGAGAAGGUAUAACUUCUAUUAAAAGGGCUCAGCACAGAGAAGAUAUAAUUUCUGUUAAAAGGGCUCUUGAUUUCAGCUUCCAAGAUGUGGACAGAUUAUUACGUUUGGUAUGGUUGGCAAUGGAAGCAAUUAGUCGUUAACUCGUAGUUGAGAUUAUGUCAAACCAAGGAAGAGUUUUGUUUCUUUGGUUUUUUUCCUUCUAGUUUUCAAUUUUUUUCCUCCAGUUUACAAUCAUUAAGGAAGAAAAGAAAAGAGGAUGACCUGGAUCUUUCUGCUGCAUCACGUAAUAUCUGUUAAGAAACAGGUGUUAACAGUUCAGUGCCUUUGUACAUCUGUAUCAUACCAAUCAAAUUUGUAGAAUUCACACCGCCUUAGUGAGUUUUCUUAUUUAUCUUUUUCAAAUGGUUAAUGAAAUUCAUAAUUACCUAUGUUGAACUCUUGGCCGGCUGUACUAAGUUAUGUACUCAUUUUGUUUCUCUCUUUGAUUUGGUGGCUAUCGAUAGAAAUACACAAAUUGUUCCAGUGCUUCAUAUCAUCACAUUGUUGCUGAUCUAACAAGUGAAGUUGUUCUUUAGCUAAUUCUUUACUAGUAGCUACUAGUAUGAAGUUUUUGCCUAUUUGUUUACUGAUUUUUUUCUCAUUUUUAAUGAAAGUGUCGCAUCUUAUCAAAAUAAAGUAUAUUUCCCUAAUUGAAUUGUAUUAAAAUUUCCAUAAUAUGGACUUUUUAGGAUGAAAACCUGUUCUUUUUUAUUUUUGUUUUGUGGUCCUUUCAUUUGCAAACAAGAAGUUGGAAGCUCCAAAGGCAAAAUUUCUUGUUCUCGUUGUUUUGAUUUCCCAUCCAACCAUAGGCCUCAUUAGGAAUUUCAUCCCCAUAACAUAAAGGACUCUAUUUUUCAAUACCCCUUCUUUUCUCUCCUCUCUCCUCUUUCUCUUCUAUGUCUAAAGUUGUAAAUGCUCUAACUCCAAACAGGAUGCUUAUCGCCAAAUUCAAACUCAAUGCAUUAUACCCAAAAUAAACAAACCAAAUCCAUCCCACUUAUAACAUCCAUAGGCUCCAAAUGCCUGAUUUGACAGAACUUGCAACAAUUUUGGAAUUAGUUUGGGAAAAGUGGUAUAUCGGGAAUAUUUUUAUAUAUAAUGUUAUUUUGGCCUAUAGCUCAUUCUCUAAUACUGCUUUGCUUUACGGUGUUUAAAUAGGAUCUUUGGUUACAGGUAAACAAGUAGAACUACUGUUGUGGUAUCAACAUCAACUUAUGAAGUGCUCCAUUUUCACACCCCCAAUCUCUUCUGUUGUAUUCUUUCUUUUCUUUUAGUAGAUUUUAUACAAUAGAUAAACAGAGACUUGAUCACUGUCUCAUUAUAUGUACAAACAUGCCAUUUGUUUCAUUCUACAUGACAAAAGUUUCGUCUCAAA